rnacentral:rRNA from 1 species
AGAGUUUGAUCAUGGCUCAGGACGAACGCUGGCGGCGUGCUUAACACAUGCAAGUCGAACGGUGAACCACUUCGGUGGGGAUCAGUGGCGAACGGGUGAGUAACACGUGGGCAACCUGCCCCUAGCUCUGGGAUAACCUCGGGAAACCGAGGCUAAUACCGGAUAUGACUCCGAGCGGCAUCGCUCGAGGUGGAAAGUUUUUCGGCUAGGGAUGGGCCCGCGGCCUAUCAGCUUGUUGGUGGGGUAACGGCCUACCAAGGCGACGACGGGUAGCCGGCCUGAGAGGGCGACCGGCCACACUGGGACUGAGACACGGCCCAGACUCCUACGGGAGGCAGCAGUGGGGAAUAUUGCGCAAUGGGCGAAAGCCUGACGCAGCGACGCCGCGUGAGGGACGAAGGCCUUCGGGUCGUAAACCUCUUUCAGCAGGGACGAAGCGCAAGUGACGGUACCUGCAGAAGAAGCACCGGCUAACUACGUGCCAGCAGCCGCGGUAAUACGUAGGGUGCAAGCGUUGUCCGGAAUUAUUGGGCGUAAAGAGCUCGUAGGCGGCUUGUCACGUCUGCUGUGAAAACUCGGGGCUCAACCCCGAGCCUGCAGUGGAUACGGGCUAGCUAGAGUGCGGUAGGGGAGACUGGAAUUCCUGGUGUAGCGGUGAAAUGCGCAGAUAUCAGGAGGAACACCGGUGGCGAAGGCGGGUCUCUGGACCGAUACUGACGCUGAGGAGCGAAAGCGUGGGGAGCGAACAGGAUUAGAUACCCUAGUAGUCC